rnacentral:lncRNA from 1 species
CUUGGCCAUGAUUGCUCCUAUUCUUUGCUCCUCUGCCUCCAGAUGAGCAGCAUGAGCAGACUCUAAGGAUUCCUUUGUAGCAAUCAGCUCAAUAGUGAGUUCCUCUACAGUCUUCUCAACUUCCUUGGAUGCAGAAACAGCCACUUCAGCUUUUUUCACAGCUUCAUCUUUCUCACUAACCAAAGAAGCAUAUUCCUUGUGCAGUGCUUCCAACUCAUCAUUAACAGCCUUUAGUUCUGAUACCGCAGCUGAAUGCCUGGCUUUAGCAACCUCAAGUUGUGCCUUGGCUGCAACACUAGCUUCAUCAGCAAUCCCCUGUUCCAUUUCUUCCACCCUGAGCUUGAC